GAUUCGACUAGACUAUCGCGCACAUAUUGAUCACAUUUGAUAAACAAGCUAUGAUCGUUGGAGAGUACCCCUCAGAUAUAUAGGUUAAUUUGACUCGAUUUUGCAGGUGCUUUGAUCUGAAGGAUUGGUUUGUGAUACGUCAUUGAUUCAUCGUUGACACAAAUAUGAAAGCACACUAGAAAGAUAAACAUAGGAGAUCAUAGCUGAAGGGUGGGUUUCCAACGACGGUGGUGUGCUGCCUUUCUUCCAGUGCCGACAAGAUGGCUAGUUUGUCACCC